rnacentral:ribozyme from 1 species
UGCAAUAUUCAUUUUUAAAUUCGGAUUUCCUUUUUCUUUGGCAUCAUCACAUAUGUCAUCAUCAAGAAAACUGGAAUAUGAAGAGGAAGAACACCACAAAUGACUUCAGCAGGGGCAUUUAAAGAGGCGGUCAAGAGCGGAGAAUAAGAUACAUCCAUGG